rnacentral:rRNA from 1 species
CUUAGUAACGUCCAAGGCUAAAUACGGGCGAGAGACUGAUAACGAACAAUUACCGUGAGGGAAAGAUGAAAAGGACUUUGAAAAGAGAGUCAAAGAGUGCUUGAAAUUAUCGGGAGGGAAGCGGAUGGGGGCUGGCGAUAUGCCUCGAUCAGAUAUGGAAUAGCAAGAACCGAUCUACCGAUUGGCUCAAGGAGUGGAUCGAUGCUGGUUAUGAUGGCGGCCUAAGCCCGAGCUCUUGAUAUGCCUGUGAAGAUGUCUUCGCCUCGAUCGUGGGAUCCAGCACGCACUAUCUCGAUGUGCUUAUACACCUACAUACUCCGGUCAUCGACCUGCGAGCUCCCCAUUCGGCCUUUCUUAAAACAUGGUGCAAGGAGUCUGACAUGUGUGCGAUUCAAUGAGCUAGAAAACCCGUAAGGCAUAAGGAAGUUGAUUGACGGGAUCCCUCGCGGGUGCACUAUUGACCGACCUUGAUCUUUUGAGAAGGGUUCGAGUGAGAGCAUGGUUAUCGAGACCCGAGAGAUGGUGAGCUAUGCCUGAGCGGGGCAAAGCCAGAGGAAACUUUGGUGGUGGCUCGUAGCGAUACUGACAUGCAAAUCAUUCGUCUGACUUGGGUAUAGGGGCGAAAGACUAAUCGAACUGUCUAGUAGCUGGUUCCCUCUGAAGUUUCCCUCAAGAUAGCUGGAGCCCUUAGCGAGUUCUAUCGGGUAAAGCCAAUGAUUAGAGGCAUUAGGGCAUAACGCUCUCGAUCUAUUUUGAAACUUUAAAUAGGUAGGAUGACGUGGCUGCUUCAUUGAGCUGCCCCACUGAAUCGAGAGCUCCAAGUGGGCCAUUUUUGGUAAGUAGAAUUGGUGAUGCGAGAUGAACCAAAAAUCGGGUUACGGUGCCCAACUACGUGCUAACCUAGAACCCACAAAGGGUGUUGGUCGAUUAAGACAAUAGGACGGUGGUCAUGGAAGUCGAAAUCCACUAAGGAGUAUAUAACAACUUACCUACCGAAUCAACUAGCCUCGAAAAUGGAUGGCGCUUAAGUGUGUGACCUAUACCUGGUCAGCGAGGCAAGGGCCAGGCCUCGAUGAGUAGGAGGGCACUAUGAUCAUUGCAAAACCUAAGGUGCGAGCCCGAGUAGAGCAGUCAUCGAUGCAGAUCUUGGUGGUAGUAGCAAAUAUUCAAAUGAGAACUUUGAAGGCCGAAGAGGGGAAAGGUUCCAUGUGAACGACACUUGCACAUGGGUUAGUCGAUCCUAAGAGAUGGGGGAAGCCUAUUCGAUAGCAUGUUCAACGCGAGCUUCGAAUGGGAAUCGGGUUAAAAUUCUUGAAUCAAGAUGCGUUGACUGACGGUAACGUUAGGGAGUCCGAAGACGUCGACGAGGACCUUGAGAGGAGUUAUCAUUUCUGUUUAACGGCCUUCCCACAUUAGAAAUGGCUCAGCCAGAGGUAAGAUCUAGUGGCCGGAAGAGCAUCGCAGUCGUCUGGUAUUUGGUGUGCCCUCAACGGCCCUUAAAAAUCUAGAGGACCGAGUGUUGUCUACGCUAACCGCAUCAGGUCUCCAAAGUGAAUAGCCUCUAGUCAAUGGAAUAAUGUAGGCAAGGUAAGUCGGUAAAAUGGACCCAUAACCUCAAGAAAAGGAUUGGCUUUGAGUGCAAGGCACAGAGGUCCCAAUCCCGAACCCGUCGGUUGUCUGUGUACUGCUCGAGCUGCUCUUACAACGAGAACGAGUUACCACGUUUCGGCAAGAGGACGGACUAAGAACGUGGCUCCCUUGAGGGCCUUCCCGAGCGACGAAAAGUCGACUUAGAACUGGUACGAACAAGGGGAAUCCGACUGUUUAAUUAAAAUAAAGCAUUGCGAUGGUCCCUGCGGAUGCUCACGUAAUGUGAUUUCGUCCCAAUGCUCUGAAUGUCAAAGUGAAAAAAUUCAACCAAGCGCGGGUAGACGGUGGGAGUAACUAUGACUCUCUUAAGGUAGCCAAAUGCCUCGUCAUCUAAUUACUGACGCACAUGAAUGGAUUAACGAGAUUCCCACUGUCCUUGUCUACUAUCCAACGAAAGCACAGCUAAAGGAAUAGGCUUGGCAGAAUUAGCGGGGAAAGAAGACCCUAUUGAGCUUGACUCUAGUUCGACUUUGUGAAAUGACUUGAGACGUGUAGGAUAAGUGGGAGCUCUCGCGCGAAAUUGAAAUGCCACUACUUUUAACAUUAUUUUAGUUAUUUCGUGAAUCCGAGGUGGGGCACGACCCGUUUUUUUGGAUCCAAGGUCGGCUUCGAUCGAUCGAUCCGGACGAAAGACAUUAUCAGGUAGGGAGUUUGGCUGGGGCGACACAUCUUUUAAAAGAUAAUGCAGGUGUCCUAAGAGCUCAAUGAGAACAAAAAUCUCGUGUGAAAUAAAAGGGUAAAAGCUCGUUUUGAUUCUGAUUUCCAGUACGAAUGCAAACUGUGAAAGCAUGGCCUAUCGAUCCUUUAGACCUUCAGAAUUUGAAGCUAGAGGUGUCAGAAAAGUUACCAUAGGGAUAACUGGCUUGUGGAAGCCAAGUGUUCAUAGCGACGUUGCUUUUUGAUCCUUCGAUGUCGGCUCUUCCUAUAAUUGUGAAGCAGAAUUCACCAAGUGUUGGAUUGUUCACCCACCAAUAGAGAACGUGAGCUGGGUUUAGACCAUCGUGAGAUAGGUUAGUUUUACCCUACUGAUGGUCACGUCGCAAUAGUAAUUCAACCUAGUACGAGAGUAACCGUUGAUUCACACAAUUGGUCAUUGCGCUUGGUUGAAAAGCCAGUGGCGGGAAGCUACCCUGCACUAGAUUAUGACUGAACACCUCUAAGUCAGAAUCCGGGCUAGAAGCAACGCACGCGUCCGUCGCCCAAUUGUCGACCCGUAGUAGGGGACUUUGCCCCCAAGGGCACGUGUUGUAGGUGUAACGAUCACGGCGGACAAGCCGCAGCUACCUCCUUGGAGCGUAAUUCC